UACGGAGGGUGCAAGCGUUAUCCGGAUUCACUGGGUUUAAAGGGUGCGUAGGCGGGCAGGUAAGUCAGUGGUGAAAUCUCCGGGCUUAACCCGGAAACUGCCGUUGAUACUAUCUGUCUUGAAUAUCGUGGAGGUAAGCGGAAUAUGUCAUGUAGCGGUGAAAUGCUUAGAUAUGACAUAGAACACCCAUUGCGAAGGUAGCUUACUACACGAUCAUUGACGCUGAGGCACGAAAGCGUGGGGAGCAAACAGG
rnacentral:rRNA from 1 species